AUGCAGAUGGUAAUUGCAAAUGAUUUGGGACUUGACCGCUCAGUAAUGGCAAUUUUUGACAAGAAGGAUGAGGAGGAUGACUUUAAUGGAGUGGACCAAGGCUCGAGGGAUGUGAUACAAAGUGUUGCAGCAGUGAUUUUUCAAACCCUAGCAAGUAAGAGAUUUAUGAUAAUUUAUCUUAACGGGACUGAUGAUGAAGUUGACAUAACAAGAUUCGGUAUUCCUCAAAUUACCGAGUUUGGGAACAAUAUGGUGAUAAUGACCAUGAAAAAAAGGUUUCUGACCAUCCAUUACAGCCAUUCUAAGGUAGCAGACAAGCUAAGAGAUACUCAUAUUUUCUUUUUCUUCCAUUAUCCAAUCAAUGAAUUAUCUUGGUCACAGUUUUGUGGGCUGCUGCAUCAAGAAGCUGCUAUCAUAGUUGCUCGCAACCCAUGUAUGCUGGACAUCAACCCAACAAUUGUUGCAGAUUGUUGUCUCUAUGAGUUAUUCUUGCAUUAUAAUUUCCACAGGGCCACUAAUUCUGGCUGGGUUGCUCACGCUUCCAACUAUUGGGUAUGUGAUGGGAUCAUACAAGGGGACAAAGCAAGUGAUAUUAGUAAUGCAUUGCAUCGAGAGAUAAAUUGGAAGUGUGAUGCUUCUCCUCUUGAUGCUCUUCUUAAAAUGAUCAUGAAACAUUCACAACCUCGUUUUCUGGUAAUUAAGGAUGAUGAUGUCUAUAAAGAAGGCCCACACCGUUGGAUUUCAGUCGUGUCGAGAGAUGCAGAAGUACAUGGAAUGAAAGCAAUACCUGCAGAGGCAUCAUCUUUCUUCUUGGCAUUUGAAAUAUCAAAUCCCCCAACAGCUUUACCAGUGUCAUGGCCUGAGAUUCCUUGGACUGGACCAUUGUAUAGAUGA
rnacentral:rRNA from 1 species